UGGGGAAUUUUGGACAAUGGUCGCAAGCCUGAUCCAGCCAUGCCGCGUGCGGGAAGAAUGCCUUCGGGUUGUAAACCGCUUUUGUCAGGGAAGAAACGGUCUGGGCUAAUACCCCGGACUAAUGACGGUACCUGAAGAAUAAGCACCGGCUAACUACGUGCCAGCAGCCGCGGUAAUACGUAGGGUGCAAGCGUUAAUCGGAAUUACUGGGCGUAAAGCGUGCGCAGGCGGUUAUGCGAGACAGAUGUGAAAUCCCCGGGCUUAACCUGGGAACUGCAUUUGUGACUGCAUAGCUAGAGUACGGUAGAGGGGGAUGGAAUUCCGCGUGUAGCAGUGAAAUGCGUAGAUAUGCGGAGGAACACCGAUGGCGAAGGCAAUCCCCUGGACCUGUACUGACGCUCAUGCACGAAAGCGUGGGGAGCAAACA
rnacentral:rRNA from 1 species